rnacentral:rRNA from 1 species
CAGGGGAUCGCAAGACCUUGCGCUCUUUGAGCGGCCGAUGUCAGAUUAGCUAGUUGGUGAGGUAACGGCUUACCAAGGCGACGAUCUGUAGCGGGUCUGAGAGGAUGAUCCGCCACACUGGAACUGAGACACGGUCCAGACUCCUACGGGAGGCAGCAGUGGGGAAUUUUGGACAAUGGGGCAACCCUGAUCCAGCCAUGCCGCGUGAGUGAAGAAGGCCUUCGGGUUGUAAAGCUCUUUCGGCCGGGAAGAAAUCGCAUGGGUUAAUACCCUGUGUGGAUGACGGUACCGGCAUAAGAAGCACCGGCUAACUACGUG